GUUGACCAAAAAAAAAAAAAGAGGAACCUAAACUCAUCAAAUGCACAGAGUAAACACAUUGUAGCAGUGGUUGCUCGGAACCAAAGACCUCACCAUGGAAUCAUUUUCUCAGAAGUGAUGUUGAGAAGUACUAAUAAGCAAAUUGAUUAUAAUACCUGAGCUACAUCCGCUAACACUAUCUAUAAGCAGAGAAAUUACGACCACACCUAUGGGUACGACGACGUUUCCAUUUUUUCCCUCCAACAGAUAUGGCUUCCAAACACGAAAAAUAUCGCUAAGAUGACAAGUUUUGCUGUUUAAGCCCUUGCAAAAAUAUCUCCUUUUUUUAUAAAGGUUAAACACUCCCUUCUCGUGCCAGGGAAAUCACUUGCACCAAUAUUCACAAAAUCUAGUGGGUUUUGUUGUUGCCUUGAGGUAUAUAAAUCCUGAGUUCACCCCAUUGCUCUUGCUUGAGGAACUUUCCUUGUAUUGGUCACACGCGAUCUCAAAAUCUACGUCUGGAAACAAUGGAUUGCGGAACCGCAAGAUAUCGGCUUCCUAAAAGCAAACGAGAGUAGUAUAAAUGUGCAAAAGUUUUCAAGGAAAAAACUGAUAAUAACGGUGGAUUAUAGGUUAACAAUCAUGUAGAUUAAAUAGAUAUAUCUCGAAUGUACAUGCUAAAAAGAUUAUAAUGUGUAAUAGUGGUUGAAAGGAUGAACCAAAACAAAGCUAACAAGAGUUUUAGUCAUUAUAUACAUCUCAAUUUACAUCUAGAUAUAUGGUUUGAAGAUUAUGAAUCUUCUUAUUAAGCAUCAUUAAACUAGAAAUGCCAAAACCCAUAAAGUUAAAACAUGAACCCUAACGGUAACAUUUUCACGUACGUAUUUAUUCACUUUUCCAUUUCAGACCUACUUUCGGUCAUAUAAUUAUUUCGGCCCACUUUUCCAUUAAAGCGACAGUAGCCAACCCCUCUUGCCGUGACAAUGUUGUACUAGGCAAUGAAUACUUCUCCGUUAAUUUUCCACUGUUCAUUUUCUAUUUUAAAUCAUUGUUUCUUGUCUUUUUCGCUUUUAGUCUUAUCUUUAGACCACUUUAUUGCCAUAGUUUAGACUUUAGACUAUACAUAUUGUUAUGCAGUUUCCAAAACUAUUCUUUGUGUUUUUUUUUACUUCGAAAUUGAAAAAUCCUUUUUCACUUUACAAAAGAAAAAAUGCGUCAAAAAAAUAUAGAUUUGGAGAGUGAGAACUUUUGUUUGUUAGCUUUUGGGAAAGAAAAAAAAUUACCUCGUCGUUAACGGUUGUAGCAAUCUUUGUAAGAGUUAAGAAAAAGUUAGCGUUACAGAAGUUGGAUAAAAUUAACUGCGGUGUGAGUGAUUGCUGAACGCAAAGGGCAUAAAUUAAGGUGAAGGCCGUCAGUAUAAUAUAUGGAAACCUUUAGCUUUCAGACAACUGUUUGAGUUGCGGUAUAAACAUGAGUUUUAGAUUUCAUUAGAAAACCAGGAAUUGUCGAUGUCUAUAUUUGUGUGUUGGUUGGUUUGUUGUCUUGUUUGGUCUAUUGGAUUACACACAGUUCUGGAUUUGGUUGAUGUGUGGAAAUGUAAGUACAUGUGUUGCUGUAGGGAUGAUGCCAAAUGUACCAGCUGAAAAAUUUGGAAAAUAUAAUACAACAUAAAAAGUAUAGAAUGUUAUGAUGUAUAUUUCACAUGUUUUUGUACUAUACAACUAAAUAGUAAAGUACCCCUGUUUACAAUUGUUGUUUUUGUUUUUCUGAAUACCCCCCUUCCUUGCAUUUUGUUUUUUCUUAUUUGGUACAACUUUAUUUACGCCCUCACUUUAUUGGAUGGGCGGACCAGGAAACACAAUGUCUAUGGCAGAAGGCCAGCUUAAUGGAGGCUUGCUACAUCAUGCACAGCCAACGAGACAAAAUUAGACAGCUCAAAGCAGUGAACAAUGAAUUCCUACGUGAGAGAAAUUAUGUUCACGAAGGCUCUAACGCUUCCGGUGAUGCCUCCAGGGCUUUUGAUGAUAAUAAGAAGCUUCAAUUCGAAGUUCUCAAGGCUGCUGAAAAACAGAAUUUGAUUCGACAAUUUAUUGCCAUUUCCUGAGCAUAGUUUUUCUUAGCCAUUGCUAUCAUUUUCUCCACAGUUUUGCAGUAACUCAUCGAAGAAUGGUCCUUCUCCGCACAUGUCUUAUACUCGUUUUCAUUUUCUAUUCUCAUAAAGUGUUUUGGGUUGCCGCAAAAUACCUAUUAUGUUUUCCUCUCUUAUGUUUCCUUUAUUUGUGACCUAAAUCCUCUAGUCGUGUUUGUUAUAACUUUGCUUUCCAUUUCAUUACGUAGCAGUGUAUGCUUAUGUAUUGUAUUAUCACGUUUAUCUUCAUGUCAUCUUUAACAUAUUCUAUCUUGCGACUA